AUUGUUUCAUUGAUUUUGAUUUAUUUUAUUUUAUGGAUUUUUUUCUCGUCUUUUUUAACAUUGUUAUCAAUAUUAUUAAUUUUAUGUCCAUACAGUUGGUGAUAUAAAACCAUAUAAAUAGAUGAUUGUGCGUGUCUCCUAAACAAUUUAGAUGACUUGUAACAUUACGAUUUCAUACUUUAAACUCCCUAAGGUCGACAUCUUUCUUUUCAUCAUCACCUUCAUCAUCUUUACUCUGUUUACAUUAUUUACACCAUUAGUUUUGCUUCUGACGGGAAUAAUAAUUUUGUAUAUGUUAGUGUUUAUUAUUAUUACCUCUAUGUUGACUGUAAAUUUUCAACAUGAAACUACAGUCACUUUGAUAAACAUUAUCAGUUACUUGAAAAAGCAUUAAAUGAAAUUUAGGAAACAUAAUAUCUAGACCUUUUGAUUCCAGUGAAGAUGAAACGGACAAACAGAGGAAAAGUAAUGAUCAAAGGCAACCAGAAGAAGCAGGUAAACCAAGGAAACCAAGAAGAGCGGAAAGACACGGAAAAUAAAGACCGAUAAGACCGUAAAGGCCAGAAAGAUUGAUUCAAAUAUUGAUAGGAUUAUUGUUUGUUGUACAAGAAAGAUUGGAAAGAUUUACGGCAUUUUCUUGGGAUUCCUGGAUAAUGGCAAAUCUUUCAAGAAAUCCUCAAGAUUAAGGUAUGAACAGUAAUGUUUUGGACUAAUUUUUCAAAAUUUAAUUGCGACAGUUAGACUAGACUUACAGGUACCAUGUAAUCGUCAAAAUGAAGCUGAACUUUUCAACAACGUGUUGUGAAAAAAUUGUUUAAUUUCGAGCAAAAAAUGUCAAGUUAUGGCCUUAAAUAGAAAAAGGCGUCAAAAUCUGAUUUUACCUUUCGUCAAAAACCAUAUUUUUCAACUUCAUACCAGGUUUCUGGAGAAUCGAAAAAUGGCCAAAUUUGGUCUCAAAUUUGUUUAAAGGGAAGUAAUUCACCUAAUAUAACUUCACAUAGAUCGAUUGAAAGAUUCAGGUCAACAUUGAGACGCAAUUCGCAGACAUUUGAUUUGAUUUGAUGAUUUUUCGCGGAUUGAAAAAGGACCUUAGGAAAAAGGACUCAGAUUUCGAAUAUUUCAAGAGAUUAUUCCCAAAUAAAAGAUCAGAACUUCAUCAAUAGAAUAAAAGUGACCUUUUGGCCUUUUUAUUUGGAAAUAAUCUCUCGAAAUAAUCGAAAUUUAAGUCCUUUUUUGAAAAGUCUUUUUUCUAUUGAAAAUAUAUGGUUUUUGACGAAAGGUAAAAUCAGAUUUUGACGCCUUUGUCUAUUUAAGGCCAUAACUUGACAUUUUUUGCUCGAAAUUAAACAAUUUUUUCACAACACGUUGUUGAAAAGUUCAGCUUCAUUUUGACGAUUACAUGGUACCUGUAAGUCUAGUCUAACUGUCGCAAUUAAAUUUUGAAAAAUUAGUCCAAAACAUUACUGUUCAUACCUCAUGAUUUGGAUCGAUUGGAUGUUUCCUUAUUCACUUGUUUUGGAUACCAGAAACUGUUGACCAAGUCCGAAUAUCGCUGUAAACCGUAAAUGUCUAAAUGGACCGUUGAAUGAAAAUGACCAGAAAAUCGUAUCGUCAUUUUGUCCUUUAACUGCAAAGUGGUUGCCAAACCAAUGGAGCUGAGAUUUAAUGUUUAACCAUCACUAUGAGUGUGACAGUUUCAAAAUGGUCAACAAGAUAAAUGAUCAAUUGUUUGGGAAAAUGUAAUUUAACUUUGUUUCUCCCUUGAAGAUUGAUUAAUGAUCUGUUGAUUAUAAUGGAAGUGCAGAAACAAUUGAAAUGACUGAUGCAGAGGUUACAAUUUUUGUUCAAUUGAUUUCUUUUCAAUGUUAUUAAACAUUGACUUUAAUUAAUUGAUUUUAUUCACAAUUAGAAACAUUGAAGUAACUUGUGAAUCGCAAGAGCCAAGCAUUUAUUAAUAGCAUCAUCUGCAACUCCGCAUGUUCAUUUCAUUGCUAAUGAGACUGACAAUUUGAUUCAAAUGUUUACAAUUUUAAAUAUGAAACAAUUAGUUUUCACAUUAAAUUGAGUUUCAAAACAAUCGCUAUAAAAUGUCAGGUUUGAGGUUUUUUUACUUGCUCAAGAUGAAUGGUUAAACGGAAAGUGUUUAAAUGAGUGAAAAUUAACUUUAAGUUAACAUUUAUUAAAACCAACUUUAUUAAUAAACUCAUUAUGAAUCGUAAUGAUUAAUAAUAAUGAGUGAAAUAAAAUGGUUGCAAGCAAAAAAAGCAUGAGAUGACAAUUUAAUGGGUAAACAGCAAUUUAAUGCAGCAACUGUGAUCAUUUAGAUUAUUUUGUUAACACAUUUAAUUGUAUUACCGAGUUGAAUCGUCAGUUAAACUGAUUAAUUAUACAACCAAAUGAAUAGACGUAUGUAAACAUUGUUAAUUUCAAACUCUACUUUCCUCCUAAUAAACCUAAUCACUUGUAGAUCAUUUGUGACAAUUUCAAUCAGUUUAAUAUUGAACCUUUAAAUGUUGAUUGUAACACUUGAUGGCGUAAAUUAAAGGCCUAAGGGAGUUUAGUUUUGCUCGUUAAUGUUUAUUAA